GCUAGCUUGGCAGAAUUAUGCAUAAGACUUAGGAUCUUAUUAAAACCAUUGAUAGGUUAGAUAGUACC
rnacentral:tRNA from 2 species